CCUCAGUUCAUCCAUGUGAUAUAAGCCACACUCAUUUACAUCUGAGGUCACAACUACUCAUCAGAUUUUGAAUAAUCCUCUUUCUACUGCUUCACAAUAGUUCAUAAGCCACAACACUUCCAGCAUUACUUCUUCCUCAACAAACCAGAAGGCUCGUUAGGAUCCAUAAUAGCUGCCAGUGUAGAGGAGCCUCAGUUACUUUCGCUUUGAUCAUUAUCCCUGGGAGAAGAAGACAACAGCUCCUGGUGACCACAAUAAGAGACUUCAUUUUUACCUCUUACGAAGAGCUCAGUGGAACAUUUGUCAUCACCGGCUGUCACAUAAUACUCCGAAUCAUCUGUCAUCUGACAGUUAUUGAUAAACAGGAUUCUCUGGCAUCCUUUGUGUUCAAAGAUGUAUCUGUUUUGAAUAGGAGGAAAAUAAACAGAGUCUGUGAAUGUGA
rnacentral:antisense_RNA from 1 species